AGCACGAACGCUGGCGGCAUGCCUAACACAUGCAAGUCGAACGAGGGCUUCGGCCCUAGUGGCGCACGGGUGAGUAACGCGUGGGAACCUGCCCUGUGGUACGGAAUAACUCCGGGAAACUGGAGCUAAUACCGUAUGUGUCCUUUGGGACAAAGAUUUAUCGCCAUGGGAUGGGCCCGCGUAGGAUUAGCUUGUUGGUGGGGUAACGGCCUACCAAGGCAACGAUCCUUAGCUGGUCUGAGAGGAUGAUCAGCCACACUGGGACUGAGACACGGCCCAGACUCCUACGGGAGGCAGCAGUGGGGAAUAUUGGACAAUGGGCGCAAGCCUGAUCCAGCAAUGCCGCGUGAGUGAUGAAGGCCUUCGGGUUGUAAAGCUCUUUCGCACGCGACGAUGAUGACGGUAGCGUGAGAAGAAGCCCCGGCUAACUUCGU
rnacentral:rRNA from 1 species